rnacentral:rRNA from 1 species
AGAGUUUGAUCCUGGCUCAGGAUGAACGCUAGCUACAGGCUUAACACAUGCAAGUCGGAGGGGAAACGAUAUUGGAAGCUUGCUUCCGAUAGUCGUCGACCGGCGCACGGGUGAGUAACGCGUAUCCAACCUGCCCACCACUUGGGGAUAACCUUGCGAAAGUAAGACUAAUACCCAAUGACGUCUCUAGAAGACAUCUGAAAGAGAUUAAAGAUUUAUCGGUGAUGGAUGGGGAUGCGUCUGAUUAGCUUGUUGGCGGGGUAACGGCCCACCAAGGCUACGAUCAGUAGGGGUUCUGAGAGGAAGGUCCCCCACAUUGGAACUGGGACACGGUCCAAACUCCUACGGGAGGCA